UCAGGCCUAACACAUGCAAGUCGGACGAGGUUUUCGGACCUAGUGGCGGACGGGUGAGUAACGCGUGGGAACGUGCCCUUUGGUUCGGAAUAGCCCCGGGAAACUGGGAGUAAUACCGGAUAAGCCCUACGGGGGAAAGAUUUAUCGCCAAAGGAUCGGCCCGCGUUGGAUUAGGUAGUUGGUGGGGUAAUGGCCUACCAAGCCGACGAUCCAUAGCUGGUUUGAGAGGAUGAUCAGCCACACUGGGACUGAGACACGGCCCAGACUCCUACGGGAGGCAGCAGUGGGGAAUU
rnacentral:rRNA from 1 species